rnacentral:rRNA from 1 species
UGGCUCAGAUUGAACGCUGGCGGCAUGCCUUACACAUGCAAGUCGAACGGCAGCACGGAGCUUGCUCUGGUGGCGAGUGGCGAACGGGUGAGUAAUAUAUCGGAACGUACCCUAGAGUGGGGGAUAACGUAGCGAAAGUUACGCUAAUACCGCAUACGAUCUAAGGAUGAAAGUGGGGGAUCGCAAGACCUCAUGCUCGUGGAGCGGCCGAUAUCUGAUUAGCUAGUUGGUAGGGUAAAAGCCUACCAAGGCAUCGAUCAGUAGCUGGUCUGAGAGGACGACCAGCCACACUGGAACUGAGACACGGUCCAGACUCCUACGGGAGGCAGCAGUGGGGAAUUUUGGACAAUGGGCGAAAGCCUGAUCCAGCAAUGCCGCGUGAGUGAAGAAGGCCCUCGGGUUGUAAAGCUCUUUUGUCAGGGAAGAAACGGUGAGAGCUAAUAUCUCUUGCUAAUGACGGUACCUGAAGAAUAAGCACCGGCUAACUACGUGCCAGCAGCCGCGGUAAUACGUAGGGUGCAAGCGUUAAUCGGAAUUACUGGGCGUAAAGCGUGCGCAGGCGGUUUUGUAAGUCUGAUGUGAAAUCCCCGGGCUCAACCUGGGAAUUGCAUUGGAGACUGCAAGGCUAGAAUCUGGCAGAGGGGGGUAGAAUUCCACGUGUAGCAGUGAAAUGCGUA